rnacentral:rRNA from 1 species
GUAAAAAGACAUUUAUACAAAAGAAAGACGAUUAGACCCUAUUGAACUUAACUGUAGUUAAACUGGGSCAGUAAAUUAAUUAUUAUUUUAAUAAAAUAUUUUAUAUAAAUAUCUAAUAAAAUUAAAUAAUUCAGUUACCAUAGGGAUAACAGCGUAAUAAUUUUCUAAAGAUCUUAUUUAAAAUAUAGAUUACGACCUCGAUGUUGAAUUAAUAACCUAAUUAAGGCAAAACUUAAAAAAGGAAGUCUGUUCGACUUUUAAAAAAUUACAUGAUUUGAGUUCAGACCGGUGUAAGCCAGGUCGGUUUCUAUCUUCUAAAAAAUUUUUUACAGUACGAAAGGACCUAAAA